rnacentral:lncRNA from 1 species
UUUCCUAUUUUCUAUUUUCUAUUUCCUAUUUCCUAUUUUCUAUUUCCUAUUUUCUAUUUCCUAUUUCCUAUUUCAUAUUUUUUUUUUUUUUUUUUUUUUUUUUAAAGACUUCAUGGAGCAACGUGAUAACUGGUACAACUGCAGAGAACUAAUUGAAGAUAUAGAAACGAAUAGAAAACAAUCUAAAAAGAUAGAAGAGUUUGUUUUAGGAGUUUGUGCAUGUACUAAAACGAUCAUUUAUAAUGAGAAAUAUUCGAAUAACUCAAUAAAAGAAUAUAAAGAGAAAAGUUUUAAAAAAAGAUAAUAAGCAAAACGUGUAUCAUGAGGAAUUUAACAUCGAUUGUGAUAUGGAAAAAGAUUUUUACGAUACAUGUAUAAAUUAUAUUGAAUAUGAAGAUAUAUGUUUAUAUAACACUAUACGAACAAUAGGAUACUCAAUGUAUUGUUAUAAAAACAAUAUAUUUUUUUAUAAUUUAAAAAAAAAGCUAAAAAAUAUUAUUUGAUUGGUUUUCAUGACUUUUUAAGUAGUAAUAAAUUUAUUAUGUGUAUAUUAAAAAAAAAAAAAAAAUCAAAAGAUGAUGGUGGUAUAUUAUAUGUUCGUGGGUAUGAUUAUAAUAUGCUUCCAAAUUUAUCAAAAACAAAAAAUAAUAUGAAUAAAUUAAAAAAAAUUAUAAAAAUAUAUACAUUGAAUUAUUUAAAGGUUUUAUUAAUUUGUAAAAAAGUAAUAACUAAUGAAGAAAUAGGUAAAUAUCUUGUCUUAAAAAAUAUGAAUAAUAAAACAACUCUUAAUAUGUAUGAUACGAUGAAAUUAUUUUUUUUAUAUGACCUAAAAGUUGUUGGAAUUGUAGGAUUAAAAAGUACAUUAAAUGAUGGAGUGAAAGAAACAUUUCAAGAUAUAAUCAAAUUUGAUAUUAGGUCAUGGAUAUUUACAAAUGAUAAUCCUAAAGAUACAUAUUUGACAGCACUACAAUGUAACUUAAUACCAUCUAAUUCAAAUUUUUUUUUAAUUAACUUUUUUUCUUCAUCAGACAAUCUUAAACAAAUGACUGAAAAUUUAUUUUAUAAUUUUAUUUUUUCAAUGAAAAAACUAAAAUCGAAUUCGUAUGCUAUUGCGAUAAAUGAUUCGAGUAUUAUAAAUAUAAUGAAUGAUGAAAACGCAAUGCGAAUAUUCCUCUCAAUAGCCAUGAAAGCAACAGUGGUUUUGUUUUGUAACUUGCAAAAUGAUAUAAAAGGAAAGAUUAUAAAAAAGUUACGUGCGUUUAGUAAACCUGAGUUAACCAUAUUAGGCAUUGGGUUGACAUUGGAUGAUGCUUCUUUGUUAAAUCAUAGUACUAUAAGUGUAUGUUUAACUUUCAAAGAACAAAUGCAUGUGUUGUAUACUAUUUCUGAUUAUGCAUUGCAAAAGUUUAAAUAUCUUAGCGAGUUGUUAAUAAUAGGUCGAAAAAAUAGAUUUACUUUAUGGUAAGCAUAAAAAAAAAAAAAAAAAAAAAUCAUAAUACAUUUUCAGUUUGUGCAUUUUCAGUCUGUGCGUUUUCUUUUUAUGUUUCAUUUUUGUCGUAAGAUAAUUACAAUACUUUAUAUGUAUACAUAAGUUUAUAUUAUUUUAAUCCAUUUGUGUUUUCUACCCGUUUCUUCAUUUGUCUAUCCAUUUUUUUAUUUUCCAUUUUUUUUACUUUCCAUUUUUUUACUUUCCAUUUUUUUUAUUUUCCAUUUUUUUAUUUUCCAUUUUUAUACUAUCCAUUUUUUUAUUUUCCAUUUUUUUUACUUUCCAUUUUU